rnacentral:rRNA from 1 species
ACCUACGGGAGGCAGCAGUGGGGGAUUUUGCCCGUUUGUGGGGACCCUGAUGCAGCGACGCCGCGUGGGUGAAGAAGCGCCUCGGCGCGUAAAGCCCUGUCAGCAGGGAAGAAAAUGACGGUACCUGAAGAAGAAGCCCCGGCUAACUACGUGCCAGCAGCCGCGGUAAUACGUAUGGUGCAAGCGUUAUCCGGAUUUACUGGGUGUAAAGGGAGCGCAGGCGGCACGGCAAGCCUGAUGUGAAAGCCCGCGGCCCAACCGCGGGACUGCAUUGGGAACUACCGGGCUGGAGUGCCGGAGAGGUA